GACGAACGCUGGCGGCAUGCCUAACACAUGCAAGUCGAACGAGACCUUCGGGUCUAGUGGCGCACGGGUGCGUAACGCGUGGGAACCUGCCCUUAGGUUCGGAAUAACUCCCCGAAAGGGGUGCUAAUACCGGAUAAUGUCUUCGGAGCAAAGAUUUAUCGCCUUUGGAUGGGCCCGCGUUGGAUUAGCUAGUUGGUAGGGUAAAAGCCUACCAAGGCGACGAUCCAGAGCUGGUCUGAGAGGAUGAUCAGCCACACUGGGACUGAGACACGGCCCAGACUCCUACGGGAGGCAGCAGUGGGGAAUAUUGGACGAUGGGCGAAAGCCUGAUCCAGCAAUGCCGCGUAAGUGAUGAAGGCCUUAGGGUUGUAAAGCUCUUUUACCCGGGAUGAUAAUGACAGUACCGGGAGAAUAAGCUCCGGCUAACUCCGUG
rnacentral:rRNA from 1 species